GACGAACGCUGGCGGCGUGCUUAACACAUGCAAGUCGAACGGAAAGGCCCUGCUUUUGUGGGGUGCUCGAGUGGCGAACGGGUGAGUAACACGUGAGUAACCUGCCCUUGACUUUGGGAUAACUUCAGGAAACUGGGGCUAAUACCGGAUAGGAGCUCCUGCUGCAUGGGGGGGGUUGGAAAGUUUCGGCGGUUGGGGAUGGAUUCGCGGCUUAUCAGCUUGUUGGUGGGGUAGUGGCUUACCAAGGCUUUGACGGGUAGCCGGCCUGAGAGGGUGACCGGCCACAUUGGGACUGAGAUACGGCCCAGACUCCUACGGGAGGCAGCAAUGGGGAAUAUUGCACAAUGGGCGGAAGCCUGAUGCAGCAACGCCGCGUGCGGGAUGACGGCCUUCGGGUUGUAAACCGCUUUCGCCUGUGACGAAGCGUGAGUGACGGUAAUGGGUAAAGAAGCACCGGCUAACUACGUG
rnacentral:rRNA from 1 species